rnacentral:ncRNA from 2 species
UUGCACCUUGGUGCAGUCAGUAAGACCGUCCUGACUUCAUAUAUAUAUAUAUAUAUAUAUAUACUUAUGUACUUCAUGCAUUACUGCUAGUCCCCAUGGAUAAUAAAUA